rnacentral:rRNA from 1 species
AGUGAACGCUGGCGGCGUGCCUUAUACAUGCAAGUCGAACGGAGUGGCGCACGGGUGAGUAAUGUAUAGCUAAUCUGCCCUACAAUAGAUGAAAACAGUUGGAAACGACUGCUAAUACUAUAUAGUGUAGGAGGAGGCUAUAUUGUAUCAGCUAGUUGGUGAGGUAAUGGCGCAUCAAGGCUAUGACGCCUAACUGGUCUGAGAGGAGGAUCAGUCACACGGGAACUGAGACAAGGUCCAGACUUCUACGGGAUGCAGAAGUAGGGAAGAGUACUCAAUGGGGGAUACACUGAAGCAGCAACGCCGCGUGGAGUAUGACACUUUUCGGAGCGUAAACUCCUUUUGUUAGGGAAGCGGUACCUAACGAAUAAGCACCGGCUAACUCCGUGCCAGCAGCCGCGGGAAUAC